rnacentral:lncRNA from 1 species
CACACACACAGCCCCCAUACAACACUUUGCAUACUGCAAAGUAGUAUUAUUAUUCAUAUUUUACAGAUGGAGAAACUGAGGCACAGAACAAUUAAAUCAGUUGCCUGUGGGAAGCACCCUCAGAUUGGGCUCUGCCCAUCUGCGGAACCCUUGUCAGCAGGUCCCUGCCACAGCUUCUGACUGCCCUUUACCUGUCCAGUCCUCCACUGACAGGCAUCUGCCAAACCCACUUCAUCCUCUCCCUGGGCCACGGCCCGUCUGUGCUAACCACAUGGCAACACUCCCAGCCACCCCUUCUGGCUUCUCGAAUCCCUGGGACCACCUGUGUGCCUGAUGCUAUGAAGCACUGAGCACCCACCAGCCCUCCUGACUCAUUACCCUACUCCACCGCUGGGGAAACCGUAACUCCAUUUCCCACUUCUGUCUGGCCGAGGUCCCUGACCUCUCCCUUCCCACUCCAAGGCCAGGCAGGGGGCCUCUUCCAGUCCCCAAGCAGCUGUUUCCCGUCCCUUCACACCAGCUGCAAGGGGUGGAUCAACAGGCCAGCGGGUCAUCGCAGAGGACAGCCAAUGCCGUUCAUCACUUGUUUUCAGGAAAUUGCCAGGGAAGAACUGGGUUGUGGAAAAAGUCCAGAUCAAGGGUUGGGGGGUCUGGGUCUACUUCUCACACAGCUGGCCGUAUGACGCAAUGGGGUCAGCGUCCUCCUCCGGUGACCUGGUCACACCCAAAUCCCAGGCCCUGGGAUCUCAGAAGACAGCUGUGGGCCAUUCCUAAGACCUAAACUAGCUGAAGCAGUUGGAUCCAGAGGCUGGGCUAAGAAAGGAAUGGAUCCCUCCAGAAUGUCAAAUAAUAACAACGCUUUUGAUAUUUACUAUGGGCCAGCCUCUAGUCUAAGGAAUUUAUGGAUAUUUACUUUUUUUUUUUUUUUUUUUAGAGGCAAUGUCUCGCUCACUCUGUCACCCAGGCUGGAGUCAGUGGCUCGAUCAUAGCUCACUGUGGCCUUGAACCCCUGAGCUCAAGUGAUCCGCCUCAGCCUCACAAAUAGCUGAGACUACAGGAAUGGACCUCUACACCUGGCUAAUUCAGGCUAAUAUUUUAAAUUUUUUGGUUUUUUGUUUUAGAUGGAGUCAUGCUCUGUCGCCCAGGCUGGAGUGCAGUGGCACAAUCUCAGCUCACUGCAAUCUCCGCCUCCCGGGUUCAAGUGAUUCUCCUGCCUCAGCCUCCCAAGCAGCUGGGAUUACAGGUGUGCACCACCAUGCCUGGCUAAUUUUUGUAUUUUUAGUAGAGACGGAGUUUCACCAUGUUGGCCAGGCUGGUCUCAAACCAGGCGUGAGCCGUGCCCGGCCUAAUUUUAUUUUUUGUAGAUACAGGUGUCUUGCUAUAUUGCCCAGGCUGGCCUCCAACUCCUGGGCUCAAGCAAUCUUCCCAGUUCAGCCUCCCAGAGUGCUGGGAUUACAAGCAUGAGCUACUGCACCUGACCUUGACUUAUUUUUUAAAAUCCUAGCUAAAUCCACUGAGGUUGGAUUUCCUAUGAUCAUUGUCCCUUCCCCUAUUGUACAGAUGGAGAAACUGAGACACAGAACAGUUUAGUGUCCUGCCUGGGUCCUGUCAUAAACAGGCAGAGGCAGGUUUUAAACCCAGGCAGGUCUUCCAGAGUCCUUGCUUUGGCCACUACACUUGAAUGCUUUCUUUUAUUUUUAUUUUUGAGACGGAGUCUCUGUCACCCAGGCUGGAGUGCAGUGGCAGGAUCUCGGCUCACUGCAACCUCUGAGCCCAGGGUUCAAGCGACUCUCCUGCCUCAGCAUCCUGAGUAGCUGGGAUUACAGGCACUUGCCACCACAGCUGGCUAAUUUUUGAAUUUUUAGUAGAGACGGGUUUCAUCAUGUUGGUCAGUCUGGUCUCAAACUCCUGACCUCAAGAGAUCAGCCCUACUUGACCUCCCAAAGUGCUGGGAUAACAGGCAUGAACCACCAAGGAGCCUCAGGGGGCUUGUCCCUCCCAGCCUACACCUGUGUCAGACUCUGAUUGGGGGCGGAGGUGCCCACCACCUCUGCGGCUUCAGGGGCUGGGGCCUCACUAAGUGGGGCGUUUAGCUGCCUUCCCUCUCCUCCGCUCCCUGCCCUGACUGUCACAGCUAGAUCCGGAUUCUGUGCCUGAGACCCCCUCAUUAGGCCGUCAGAGCCGACGCCACACGCCCCCUCUCCCGCCCCAGGGACUAUUUUGGGACGCAGAGCUGUGAUCACCAAACCGGAGUGGUG